rnacentral:lncRNA from 1 species
UUUUCAGCCCAUUCUCAGCUAUGAGAACAUUUUAAAGUGUGCUUUUCAAGAUAUAACAGUCCAGCAGGCAGCUGAAGACAUUUCCACCAUAGACCAUUUCCUAGAAAUAAGCAGUGAAGAAAAACCUGGCCUUGAAUGUGUACAUAAAUUGUGUAACGAAUCCAGAAAACUCUGGAGAGCCCUUCAGAGCAUACACACCACGUCUACUUCUCAGCGCCUCUGGAGCGAGUCCCGUUGCCAGGAGAACUUCUUUCUUGUUCUUGGAAUAGAUGCUGCGCAGAAGAACCUUUCUGGAGGCCAGGGCCACAUCAUGGAAGAUUGUGACCUCAAAGAGCCUGAAGGACUCCUCACUGUCAGCAGCUUCUGUCUCCAGCAUUGCAAAGCCCUGAUCCAGACCAAGCUCUCGGGGCCGCCUGGCAGCAAACAGGGGAGGCUGAUGACAUGCAGCCGCUUCCUGAAGACCCCCU